rnacentral:snRNA from 1 species
UUGUUUUGGCAAUACAGAUGCUAAAGUUGAAACAAUACAGAGAUUAACAUGGCCCCUGCAUGAGGAUGACAUGCAAAUAAUAGUUUUUCUUUUCUUU